AAAGUACUCCCUCCAUCCCGAAAUUCUUGUCUUAGAUUUGUCUAGAUACGGAUGUAUCAAGUCACAUUUUAGUAUUAGAUACAUCCGUAUCUAGACAAAUCUAAGACAAGAAAUUUGGGACAGAGGGAGUAGUUG
rfam:Triticum aestivum genome assembly, contig: Triticum_aestivum_CS42_TGACv1_scaffold_363255_4DS